rnacentral:rRNA from 1 species
UACGUAGGGUGCGAGCGUUGCCCGGAUUUAUUGGGCGUAAAGGGCGCGUAGGCGGCCACGCACGUCCGUUGUGAAAUCGCUCGGCUCAACUGGGCGGGGUCAGCGGAUACGGUGUGGCUAGAGCAAGCUAGGGGGGCAAUGGAAUUCCCGGUGUAGUGGUGGAAUGCGUAGAUAUCGGGGAGGAACACCAGUGGCGAAGGCGGUUGCCUGG